UAUCAAAGCGCCCGAGUCAAAGAUGAAAUCAUAAAUCAUAAUACUUGUUGCGGGUGUGCGAAUACAGUUCAAUCGUAAGGGCUGUAUCCUAACGGAAAUAUUUUAUUUCUUGUUUUCAGUUUCGAUUUUUGGAUAUUAGGAUACUCGGUGUAAGAUUGAUGUCUGAUUAAUUGAGAAGUGCAGUGAGUUCGCUUAUCGUUACUGUUUGGUAGUUAAAUUCUUUCGUCUUAUCGGAAUACAAGAUUCGUAAACAUCAUAAUUCUACAUGUAGUAGGAAGGCUGCUAAUGGUUCAUGGAGGAGGAUAUUGUAUUUAGCAUUGGCUAAAAAAUUUUGUGUCCAAUAACGCUGGUGUUCAAUAGGCUGGUAUCCAAACGGGGUUCACCCUUCCGACUAAACACCUUCAUCUAUUUAAGUCUCGACUGCUCGUCGAAAUGAACUGGGCAUGGUAACCAACUACGUAAGACAGCCCGAUGUUUACCGAAUUGCCGUCAUUCGUAGCAUCAGGCGAAAGGAAGCCGCGAGCGAAGACGUAACAGUAGCUAUAAACGAUAAUGCCCUGGAUUACACAGCCCAUUGGAGAUUCACUUGUACUAAUUUUAAAGAACGGUCUUGAAUACACGUCUGGAAACGAUCCUAAUCUUCAGAUGGUGAGGGAGGCCCUCAUUUUGAGGUCAACUUGGUAGUUUCAUCAAUGGCCACGCGGAUCACCACGUAUGCAAGGUUUUCGGCGGGCAAGUGGGCCCAGGUGGGCCUGGGAGCGUAGGAGGUUUCUGCUCUACCGACUCUACCUAACGGUCUUGUACCGACAUUCGUAGCAGCGUAGUAGUGUCGGUAUGGAAGCUUGAGAUUGAGACGGGGACGCAACGAGGAGGUCAACUAACAUUGCCCCGCAUACGUCGAUCAGCUCGAUCAUCCCCGUGAGGAGACGCGAAACCGCGACUUGGUCGAUCAGCAAAAAUAACUGAAAUUCGGAAUCAGAUGAAUAUGGUGAAAACACACUGAUUGAACAAACAACGCGACAUAACUUGAUCAACACGGUUUGAAUGUUGAACUGAUACUGAUAACACGUGAUUCCGCUCCGAUUGCUCGGAAACGACUGAUGCCGCACGGCGCUCAGAAGAGUCUGAUAUCAAUUCUCUGAAUGACGGAAGAUAAUAAUUCUCCCUCCCUCUUUCUUACUCUUCCCAUGGGGUGGGGGUAGAUUCGAUUCGAUAGCGAAAGUUUAUAAAUUUCCAGAGACCAUUCUUCCUGCUGCACGGAAAAUUAAAAAACGUAUAAAGCAGAUACAUAUAGCAAAAUAUUAUGUGUAUGUACUAUUUUAAUAAUAGAAUUGGAAAAAUUUGUCACAUUUAUAAUGAAAUUACAAACAUUUCAAUAUGUGAAGCCUGUUAUAGUAUAAUAAAAAUUAUAAAGGCCCUUUAAUAAG
rnacentral:lncRNA from 1 species